UCUCUCUGUGCUUGUGUGGAAAGCAGAAGCCUGCUCUGGCAGAGGAAGGGUGGUGCCCGGGCACGGGUCAUGGGAAAUGAGUGGGCAGCAGACUGAGGGAACUGAAGAAAACAGACAGAAGCAACACCUCCACUGAAAUGCACUGGGAAGGUCCGCACUCUGGGACCCGCUCACAUGGACCGGAGGGUCCCCAGCACUGCACGGGAUGCUUGGAUACUAACUCAAGUUCAACUCACAAGGCAUUCAUUGAACGCCCAUCAGGAGGCAGGUCUGGGCGCUGAGCGCGGAGUCUAUUGCUACGAAGCAGGGCUGCCACCUGCAAUAGCUAGAGCUCUGUUGUCUUGCAGAGGUGAAGAGAGUGGACCCAAUUGUCUGCAAAGUCCGUCAUCUUUGCAGUGGUAACCUAAGAGGAAAAAAAUCUUAAAGAGACAGCUCUGCAAAUGUUGCCACUCCGCACCACCUCCAACCGCAGGCAGGGCAGAGGGAAAGGCCUGACUGCAUCAGGAGGCAGAGGACUGGAAGCUCCUGAGAGAGAGCAGCGUUUCACAAGUGACUCACAAGGUACAUGGCUUCAGACACAGGCGGAGGAAGGAGUAGCAACCUUUUCCUCCAUGUGCUGUACAGGGCGCAUCAGUAAUUGUUUUCGCCACAGUCUGCCCUUGCCUUGCUCGUCUAAGCUCAUCAUUGUUCUUUUAUGUUCCUCGAACUGUCACCCCCUUUGAGUUUUUUAGGACUCCAUACAUCCGGGGAAAAUGCCCUUCAAACCAGGAUCUUUCAGGAUAAAGAAAAUUGACUCAGAGAUGGGCAGGCCCUCAGAGCCUGUUGAUUCCAAAUUCCAUUGUUCGUUGCUCAAACCAAAGUGCUUUCUUCCAUCAAGGCACUUUUUAACUCUGGGUGGGACUUGAUCUUUCUUUGAAUAUGGUCAUUAUCAAGACCAUUCGCUCCAUCUUUCUUUCACUGAUCCUACCAAUACUUCUUGAGUCCCUAGCGUGUGUCAGGUUCAGUUCUGGACAUGGAGGGUUGGUGUUGAACAAGACACGAAAGCUGCCGGCCCUCAGGAGAUUACACCCCGGCACAGGGAGACAGACCAUGAUGUGAAAUCAAAUAAAUGAACUGUAGAGAAAAUAAAACAAGAGGAUGCAAUUCGAAAUGCCAGGCGAGCUGAAGAGAUUGGGUCUUCAGAGGAGGCUGCUUGAAGAGGUGCCAUUGAGCUGAGACACGGAUGAUGUGGAGUCAGCCACGUGGAGAUGGAGAGCGUUCCAGGUGGGGGCCCCACGAGUACAAACGCGACAAGGCAACGAUGAACACAGGAAGAAGUUAAGAGAGAUUAAGUAACAUGUCCACAGUCACCAGCAGUGGAUCUGGAUUCAAACCCAGGCAGUCUGACUCCUGCUUUCACCUGCCUUGGAACUUCAGCAGUAAACACUGUGAACCCUAGAAAGUCUCCAAUGAAGACAACCAGGCACACCCCUUCUUACACAGUCCUGGAAUUGGAAAUUACGGACUCUGGAAAUUCUGAUUUAAUUGUGGUUACAUUAUGUGUCUUCAUGGAUACGUGUAUAGUUAAAUCAUUGACACCCUUUCGGCUUAGGAAUAGCUUUAGCUUUGAGAGUUUCCCCGAGUGACUUGACUUCACCCUCUGAUGGGAGCAGACGAGCACUGCUGAAAUCUCAGCCAUUUUUAGUCCAGAGAGUCAGUGGUGACUGUCUCUCUCUGGGUAGCAGCAGGACCACAGUGCCUGCUUUGGAGUGGCCCCCAAGUGUCCCUGGGGUUCUCUAAGGACAGUACACACGCUCCACAAUCCCUGCUGGACAUCUGUCGGCUGGACAUCUGCUCUCUCCCUCAUCCGGCUCCCUGAGCUGAGACCUGUCUCCCUCCUCAGCCACCAGGACUUCAAGCCCAUGGAGGGGGGCUGGGCUCCCAGCAGUGAUCCACGGGGGGCGCAGAGGGGCUGACCUCACUACGAAAAGACCCAGACUCUCACCCCCUGAAAGUCCAUCUCCAAAGGAGAUAGUAGUUAUCCAAUUUAGAAGUACUUACCCUGAGUCUGAAACAGUUUCCUUUGGUUUACAGCACUCGCUUCUGGGUUGUCCCAGAAUAUUCUAUGUCUAAAAAUUAUGUGACAAUUGCGUGAUGAGAAAUAAGCAGGUGGGCUCCUCUGUGACUGACUUGCUCCUUUGAAGCUAGAAAAAAGGGUGACUCUCCCCAAAACCACUUUAAGUUCCCUCUUAACAGUCAUUCUGCUACAUUUACAAUAGAAAAGUUCAAAAAUACUGCUCAAUCAACAAACACUGGCAAAAUAAUUUAUGGUAUACCCUUACAAGAAAAUACUAGGCAACCAUUUUUUUAAAAUUCUCAUAGAAGAAUAUGUAAGGACACGGGGAGAUGUUUAUAACACAUCUGGAAAGUGUAAAAAAAUUACCAAAAAGUAAUAUGUCCUUUUAUACAUAUGUAUGGGCUUCUGUUCUUUUUUGUUCAUGUUUUAUAACGUGCAUUUUCUAAUAUUUUAUAAUGGAAAUGUUUUACUUUGUAAUAUGUAAAAAAAAGCAGUUUAAGUAUUUUUAAUUAAAAAGCAGCCUGAGCCUGUAUCGGAGCUGAAAGAAGAUUUAGAGCCCAGAGUCUGAGAUCCACACAGGUCUUGAUGGUCACAGAGCAGUGCUAGUCAAUAGGAAUAGAGAAGUAGGAGAUACAACAAAUAGGAGACAUCUGUGGCCUUUAGAAUUUUCCAGUAGCCACACUGAAGAAACAAAAAGUGGUGAAAUUAAUGCUGAUAAUUCGUUGUACCCAAUAUACCCCAAGUGCUAUCCCAUUGCAAUAUGUAAUCCAUGUGAAAAUAUUGAAACAUUGUGUAUUCUUUUUUACCCAGACUGAGAAACCCUUAUAG
rnacentral:lncRNA from 1 species